UACGUAGGGGGCGAGCGUUGUCCGGAAUCAUUGGGCGUAAAGCGCGUGUAGGCGGUUCGAUAAGUCUGCUGUGAAAGUCCAGGGCUCAACCCUGGGAUGCCGGUGGAUACUGUCGGACUAGAGUACGGAAGAGGCGAGUGGAAUUCCCGGUGUAGCGGUGAAAUGCGCAGAUAUCGGGAGGAACACCAAUUGCGAAGGCAGCUCGCUGGGACGUCACUGACGCUGAGACGCGAAAGCGUGGGGAGCAAACAGG
rnacentral:rRNA from 1 species